CUCUGCCUCCCGGGUUCACGCCAUUCUCCUGCCUCAGCCUCCUAAGUAGCUGGGACUACAGGCGCCCGCCACUACGCCCGGCUAAGUUUUUGUAUUUUUAGUAGAGACGAGGUUGUACCGUGUUAACCAGGAUGGUCUUGAUCUCCUGACCUUGUGAUCCGCCUGCCUUGGCCUCCCAAAGUGCUGGGAUUACAGGCGUGUUCAAUUUGGGCAUGUUAUGUCCAAACUACAUUAAAUACUUGAGAACUAUUUCUUUAAUAAUGGAUGAGUGAAGUCAGUUCAUUUCCAAGCUUCUUAUUUGUCUUAUCUGUGAAAUGCAUGGAAGACAGGCCUAUUUCUGUAGCAGCAUUCUUCACGUCCAUAUAAUAGGAUUAAAUAUGAAUGAACACUCCAUGGUGUACUAUAAAGAGUACUAUGACUUUUCAAGUGCACUACUAAUCAAAUGAGCGUGAGAGCUCUUGUUCUAGACAGAAUAAACUCGAUAUUUGCAGUGGAGGUAUGAUGGGAUUGUGAUGAGUUUAUGCAAUGAUCUGUGGGCAAAAGAAUUUCAAUGUGAAAUGUGAAUAGUUAAAAAGCAAUUACUUGUGAUUGUGUAAUCCAAAUCCAUGACAAUAUAGACUAAUCCAUUAGACAAUGUCUAUGUGCUUCGUCUUUUUCAUCUCUGAACAAACAUAUUUUUGAGUACGGUGAUUAAGAGCCCAACACAUAAUGGUUUGAGGCUGAGAUUGUUAAAAGGUGAUCUCACCCAUUAUUUUGUGACAAAUAUUUCUCUCAGGCAAUAAGAGCAAUCCUAGCAGGAAAACAUAUUCUCUUAGUAUUUCCUUAUUAUCUACCUGGUGUUGACAUUAUCUGUGGUCAUAAACUUUCCCUCAGGGUUUUUAAGGGUGAGGGCAAUGUAAUUUCAGAGAAACUUUGCUCUAUUUCUCUUCCCAAUCAUUUUCUGAAAUAAAACUAUUUAAAAGUCAUUGUGGUUCAUAGUGGAGGUGGUGGAGAUGGUAGAGGUGUUAAAUGAUGGAGAGGUUGGGGAGGGUGGAGGCGGUGACGGUGGUAGAGAUGGUGGUAACGGUAGAGAAGGUGGAGAUGAUGGAAGUGGUGAAGAUGGUGAAGAAGAUGGAGAGGGUGAAGAUGGUGGAGCUAGUGUAGAUAGAAGAUAUACUUUUAUAGUUCACUAAUUUCCAGCUGUGAGGCCCUCUGGGUGCCAUCCAGGCCCUUCUGUGGCUCUUUGAAGUUGGACUAAGAAGCAAAUCUCUACUUGCACUUUAAGCAAAGUUGUUCUAAGGGGAUCUCAUGUCAUUUUUCGUGUCUAAUGAAAGAUGGACUGUGCUGCGUUUUCUUAUAGCAAAUUCUAUAUUAGAAGACAGGAGAUUUAAAAAUUAAUUCAAGAUUAAUUCAGGGAUGACUGCACAUGGAAUUAUUUGGCCAACUAAUGACAUUUCAUACCAAAAGCUGAACUUGUUAAUCUUAUCAAAAGGCUUUAUCAUAAAGCCUUCAGUAGUGUGUCUCCUUAGGAAUUUUCAAGGGUAAUU
rnacentral:lncRNA from 1 species